rnacentral:misc_RNA from 1 species
GAUGAAGAACGUAGCGAAAUGCGAUAAGUAGUGUGAAUUGCAGAAUUCAGUGAAUCAUCGAAUCUUUGAACGCACAUUGCGCCUUCUAGUAUUCUGGGAGGCAUGCCUGUUUGAGCGUCAUUAAACCUCUCUCAAGUAUGAUUACUUGGAUGUGAAGGAAGAGUACCUUAAACUUAAGGAGUGUUCUCCUUUGAAAUCGAUUAGCAGAUGGUAAUGUUAUUAAAUCCCUGAUGUUGUAAGAAAUAACAGUGGUUUUGUAGACUAUUAUCUAGCUUUAAAUUAUAAUUUUUAUUAUGGUUGACCUCAAAUCAGGUAAGGAUACCCGCUGAACUUAAGCAUAUCAAUAAGCGGAGGA